rnacentral:lncRNA from 1 species
GCAGGGCAGACAGUUCUGAUGAACGCUAACCAGUAGACGGUAACCACAGUGAUUGGCAGAGCUUGGACGCCAAGUCUAACCUGCUCUGAGCUGAUGUGCACUGUUGGCUCCUGUUGUGCUGCACAGGCCUCCGUACAAACGGAACUCAAGAGCAUACACCACUCAUCUCUGCUAGUGGAUCACCUCUGAACGCUGUCUGCGCUGGGCUGAGGAUGCUCAUUACUGAAGUUCAAGGUUCUUACUGAUGUCACUGGAAAAUUUGUCUCUGCUCUGAGAAAUCACAGGAAGAAUUGCUCAGUGAGGCUUAAUCUGUCAGUUUACAAAACAAG